GCGGGCUGUAAUUCCGUUUAGGGGAGUAAGAGUCUCUCUUU
rnacentral:tRNA from 1 species